GCCCCACCCACCUAGAGGAGCCUGUUCUAUAAUCGAUAACCCCCGCUUAACCUCACCACUUCUUGCCAAUACCGCCUAUAUACCACCGUCGCCAGCCCACCCCGUGAGGGAAAUAGUAGGCACAAUGAUAAGUCACCAAAACGUCAGGUCAAGGUGUAGCGUAUGAAGUGGGAAGAAAUGGGCUACAUUCUCUAACCUAGAGCACACGAAAAAUCAUAUGAAAUUAGAUCAGAAGGAGGAUUUAGUAGUAAAAAGAAACGAUAGUGUUCUUUUUAAGUUGGCCCUGGGGCGCGCACACACCGCCCGUCACCCUCUUCAACUAAUAAAACACGAUUUAUAAAACAUAAAACAAACACAAGAAGAGGUAAGUCGUAACAUGGUAAGUAUACCGGAAGGUGUGCUUGGAAUUA
rnacentral:rRNA from 1 species